UAAGGAAUAUUGGUCAAUGGGCGGAAGCCUGAACCAGCCAUGCCGCGUGCAGGAUGACUGCCCUAUGGGUUGUAAACUGCUUUUGUCCAGGAAUAAACCUUUCUACGUGUAGGAAGCUGAAUGUACUGGAAGAAUAAGGAUCGGCUAACUCCGUGCCAGCAGCCGCGGUAAUACGGAGGAUCCGAGCGUUAUCCGGAUUUAUUGGGUUUAAAGGGUGCGUAGGCGGCCUAUUAAGCCAGGGGUGAAAUACGGUGGCUCAACCAUCGCAGUGCCUUUGAUACUGAUGGGCUUGAAUCCAUUUGAAGUGGGCGGAAUAAGACAAGUAGCGGUGAAAUGCAUAGAUAUGUCUUAGAACUCCGAUUGCGAAGGCAGCUCACUAAGCUGGUAUUGACGCUGAUGCACGAAAGCGUGGGGAUCGAACAGGAUUAGAUACCCUGGUAGUCCACGCCCUAAACGAUGAUAACUCGAUGUUGGCGAUAGACAGCCAGCGUCCAAGCGAAAGCGUUAAGUUAUCCACCUGGGGAGUACGCCCGCAAGGGUG
rnacentral:rRNA from 1 species